rnacentral:rRNA from 1 species
CCUACGGGAGGCAGCAGUGGGGAAUAUUGGGCAAUGGGCGCAAGCCUGACCCAGCAACGCCGCGUGAAGGAAGAAGGCUUUCGGGUUGUAAACUUCUUUUCUGAGGGACGAAGAAAGUGACGGUACCUCCUGAAUAAGCCACGGCUAACUACAGGCCAGCAGCCGCGGUAAUACGUAGGGGGCAAGCGUUAUCCGGAUUUAUUGGGUGUAAAGGGCGUGUAGGCGGGAAAUCAAGUCAGAUGUGAAAACUCAGGGCUCAACCCUGGGCCUGCAUUUGAAACUGUUUAUCUUGAGUGCUGGAGAGGCGAUCGGAAUUCCGGGUGUAGCGGUGAAAUGCGUAGAUAUCCGGAGGAACACCAGUGGCGAAGGCGGAUUGCUGGACAGUAACUGACGCUGAGGCGCGAAAGCGUGGGGAGCAAACAGGAUUAGAUACCCUAGUAGUC